UGCUACCUUUUUCUCAAAAAAUAAAAAAUAAAAAAAAUAAAAAAAUAAAAAAAAAUUUAUGUAGGUUCCUGUAAAUAUAGUAAAUAUCAAAUAUAUUUCUGUAAAGUUCAACUUUUAUAUGUUGGCCCUGUAAAAAUUCUAAUAUUUUCAAAUAUUUUCCUCUGAUUUGUAACCGCUAGAGAACGAUUAGAGAACUGUUUAUAUUUUCAAUUUUGCCAUCACAAAUAUGUUACUCCAAAAAUCAUAACAAUAUAAUAUAAGAUGGGCAAAAAUAUCAAAAACUAACUAGAGUUAAGUAUUUAAUCUAUUCUUAACUAAAGUUUUUUAACAGAUUCUUACGACAGGGAUAUAUUUGAAAACAUCAGAACUUUUAUAGGAACAAUAUAUGAAAGUAUAACUUUAUACGGAAAUAUUUACUAUUCACUAUGUUUGCAGAGAGCUGUAUAAAAUUAACCCUUUUUCUAAUAAUCAAUAUAAAAAAAUUUAAAUUUUAUCACAUAAAUACAAU
rnacentral:lncRNA from 1 species